rnacentral:rRNA from 1 species
GACGAACGCUGGCGGCGUGCUUAACACAUGCAAGUCGAACGGAAAGGCCCUGCUUUUGUGGGGUGCUCGAGUGGCGAACGGGUGAGUAACACGUGAGUAACCUGCCCUUGACUUUGGGAUAACUUCAGGAAACUGGGGCUAAUACCGGAUAGGAGCUCCUGCUGCAUGGUGGGGGUUGGAAAGUUUCGGCGGUUGGGGCUGGACUCGCGGCUUAUCAGCUUGUUGGUGGGGUAGUGGCUUACCAAGGCUUUGACGAGUAGCCGGCCUGAGAGGGUGACCGGCCACAUUGGGACUGAGAUACGGCCCAGACUCCUACGGGAGGCAGCAGUGGGGAAUAUUGCACAAUGGGCGGAAGCCUGAUGCAGCAACGCCGCGUGCGGGAUGACGGCCUUCGGGUUGUAAACCGCUUUCGCCUGUGACGAAGCGUGAGUGACGGUAAUGGGUAAAGAAGCACCGGCUAACUACGUG